AUCAAACCAAACAACGCGGUGCAUUAUGGGAAUAUUUUUGACCGCUAGAGUUCGUUAGAGAGCAGAAUGCACUUGUGUGACGAGAAGCUUAUUUAUAUAAUUUAUACUGGAAAGAAAAAGCAUUACAGUUACAUGAAAUAAAAUUGAACCUUUCAACAUUAAUACGUGACCAGGACGGGACGUGUAUUAAAAUUAAACAGUCGAAGUAAUCUUUAGAUAGAAAGCUACUGGGUGAAGUAAUGAUUAUGUUCCCAUUCAACCCCUGUUUUUGUUUGUUUGUUUACCCUUCGAUACAUGUCAUUAUUUUGUUUCUCUUGUAACAAAUAAAAGCAAAAAUUAAACGAACAAAUACAUUCUUAUGAAUUUUUAAUAAUCUGUGAAAUCCGGUACGAAUCCAGAAGUGAAUCGCUGAUUUAGGACUGGAAUGGAUAUUUUGUGCAAAACUAAUUUUCUACUCAAUUUGGAAUAAAACUGUGAGAAGUUGUUUAUUGAUUUUGUGUUAAAAAUAGUUCCUAAGCAAAACCAGUGGUAAAUUCUGGUAAAAUCAGGAGUGUCCCGGACAACCCCCUUCCCCUCGAAUUAAAACCUUUAUGGAUUUUAAACUAAUACAAACAACGCACAAAAUUCUACAGACUUGUGUGAGGACUUGUUAUAAACAAAAAGUAACGUAAAAUGAUUUAACCCACACCCUUUUGGCUUAUUAUUUACUUUAGUAUGUGAUGAAUUAUACAGUGAAACGGGUUAUCCAGCAGGAAAGGGGUUAAAUCCUGACCCUGACAAAAACAAUCCUGGAAAAAAUGAACACAUGUAACCUACUAAAAGCGCAAGCUAAAGUUAUCGAAGAUACACUAUACAUAAAAAAGUAUAUGCACCCCUGACCAUCACACCCAAAGCCUAUCUACAAACUUGUACAGAAAGUCUUUGUACGCUGUAGCAUUACAGUUUCCCUUCUCUGGAACUAAGAGACGUGAACCCGUUCCAGCAUGACACAAAGCACACAAAGAGUGCGAGCUCCAUGAAGACGUGGUGUGUGAAGGUUGGAAGAAGGUAGAAGAACUCGAGUGUCCUGUACAGAUCCCUGACCUCGACCCCACUGAACACCUUUGGGAUGAACUGGAACUGGAGUCUCCUCACAUCAACAUCACUAACGCUCUUGUAGCUGAAGGAAGACAAAUCCCCACAGCCACGCCCCAAAAUCUAAUGGAAAGCCUUUGCAGAGGAGAAGAGUUGAGCGCGUUAUAACAGUAAACACAGAGGGAAUAAAUCUGGAACGAGACGUUCAACAAGCAGUACAUGCAGGGUGUGAGGGUCAGGGGUUCACUGUGAAGUUGAUUUGACUUAUUAACACCCCCCUCCUGCUCUCCCUAUAUUUUUGGUUUAUUAUGAAUAUACUUUUGUCUUUUAUAUUAAUCUAAGCAUUAAAAAAAAAAAAUAAAAA